GUUUAAACGGAAAGGACACAGAUCCUGUCUGUUCAAUGUAUAAAAAAAAAGCCCGAUCAGAGCAGGGAGAGAGAGGGGGAGACAGAGAGUGUGUAUGUGUGCGAGAGAGAGAAUCACCGUGUUACAGAGAGAAAAGCCAACAGGAUCCUCUAUGUAUAUAAAGAUGGCCACGUUAGCUAACGGACAAGCAGACAAUAGCAGCCUGAACAGCAAUCACAGCAACCCAAACACCAACGGGCACAUGAACGGAUUAAACCACAGUCCUGGGAACACUUCCACCAUCCCUAUGAAGGAUCACGAUGCCAUCAAGCUCUUCAUUGGGCAGAUCCCCCGCAAUCUGGACGAGAAGGACCUGAAGCCUCUGUUUGAGGAGUUCGGCAAGAUCUACGAGCUGACAGUGCUGAAGGACAGGUUCACUGGAAUGCACAAAGGCUGCGCCUUUCUUACAUACUGUGAACGAGAAUCUGCCCUGAAAGCUCAGAGUGCUCUCCACGAACAGAAGACCUUGCCCGGGAUGAACCGACCAAUCCAGGUGAAGCCAGCUGACAGUGAAAGCAGAGGAGGUAAAGACAGAAAACUCUUUGUGGGUAUGCUGAAUAAACAGCAGUCAGAAGAUGACGUCCGCCGACUAUUUGAAGCCUUUGGGAACAUUGAAGAAUGUACAAUCCUUCGAGGACCAGAUGGAAAUAGCAAAGGAUGUGCAUUUGUGAAAUAUUCAUCACAUGCGGAAGCACAGGCAGCCAUUAAUGCCCUUCACGGAAGCCAGACAAUGCCGGGGGCAUCCUCGAGUCUGGUGGUGAAGUUUGCAGAUACAGAUAAAGAACGCACAAUGAGACGUAUGCAGCAAAUGGCUGGACAGAUGGGAAUGUUCAACCCCAUGGCUAUUCAGUUCGGAGCUUAUGGCGCCUACGCUCAGGCACUGAUGCAGCAACAGGCCGCCAUUAUGGCUUCCGUAGCACAGGGUGGAUACCUGAAUCCCAUGGCCGCCUUCGCAGCUGCCCAGAUGCAACAAAUGGCUGCGCUGAAUAUGAAUGGCCUGGCGGCUGCUCCAAUGACGCCAACAUCAGGUGGAAGCACACCGCCAGGAAUCACCGCACCAGCUGUGCCUAGCAUUCCAUCACCAAUUGGGGUUAAUGGAUUCACCGGCCUCCCACCCCAGGCUAACGGACAGCCCGCUGCGGAAGCCGUGUUUGCCAAUGGAAUCCAUCCCUACCCAGCACAGAGCCCCACCGCGGCCGAUCCAUUGCAACAAGCCUAUGCCGGAGUGCAGCAGUACGCAGGUCCUGCUUAUCCUGCUGCCUAUGGACAGAUCAGUCAAGCUUUUCCCCAGCCACCUCCAAUGAUCCCACAGCAACAGAGAGAAGGACCCGAGGGCUGCAACCUGUUUAUCUACCAUCUGCCCCAGGAAUUUGGGGACACCGAGCUGAUGCAGAUGUUCCUGCCUUUCGGUAAUGUCAUCUCCUCGAAAGUGUUUGUGGAUCGGGCGACAAACCAAAGUAAAUGCUUUGGUUUUGUGAGUUUUGACAAUCCUGCCAGUGCCCAGGCUGCCAUACAGGCUAUGAAUGGCUUUCAAAUUGGCAUGAAGAGGCUUAAAGUGCAACUGAAGAGGCCGAAAGAUGCCAACCGCCCUUACUGAGACAUUUCAGGAGCCGCGGGAAACAAGGACUAGCACAGACUAAAGAAACCAAACCCACCACAAAAAAGCACCUAAAAGAACAAAAAAUAUAUAUUUUCUUCUUUUGUCAUUCAACUCAAACCCAACCUAACCAGACACAACAAACGGUCUUGUGCCGAAAACAGUUAACGUAAUGACGUGAGAGGGAAGAAAAGAGCCCCCUGAUCCGGCAGGAAUUGAAUGGGCCGUAUUAUAACAAUACAACACACGCAUAUAAAUAUAUAUGAUUGAGAAGCGCUGGAUCACAACUUUGACAUAUCAGCAAAGUACCAAUCAUGCUGAAGACUACAGACUUUUCUUCUUUGAUUGUUUAGACUGUAAUAUUUCUUCAAUGAAAGUAUUGCUUUCUGCUUACGUGGAUGGAAUCUUAAGUUGGAAACAUCGGACAGGAUCGAGAUCAAUCGGAAUUUCCGAAUAGACAAUGACAAUAUUACACAAAAAAAAGGCUUUUUCUUCUAACAGGAAACCUGAAAACUGACAAGGAGUGCCUGUUUGUCACCACGAGUUAUGUUGCCAUGGUUUCCCCAUAGCAACUGUUACAAGAAGCAUUGUAUCUGUCAUUCCUUAGCUAUUUAGGGACCAAAGGACCAAACUUUUUAUUGCAGACUUGUAGCUGUAUGUAAAAUAUGGAGUUAACUUCCUACUUCUCGGCUGUUCUUAAAACAGUUUGAGAACAAUUAUAUGAAAUAUGUACAAAAAAAAUGCUUACAUGCUUUUAAAAAAAAAUGGCAAGAUAAUAGUUAUUUGAUACUAUAGAAGGUUCUUUGGUUACAUUAAUUCAAUUCUGAACAUUUCCUAUGGUUUUCUGUAUAAUAUGAAAGGGUUAAGUAUGUAGAGAUUAAAUAUAGAAUAGCUAUUUAAAAAAAAAAAGCAAAGAAAACAAAAAGAACAAAAAAAAUAGAAAAAAAUAUAGAAAAAAAUGCAAUAGAAAAGAUGGUAGUGGACAAAAAAAAAUAAAAUAAAAAGGUUUGUAAAUGCUUCUAACUAUUCCCUUCCCCCCUUCCUUUAAAAUCCUAAUAGUUGUACAGAUUUAACAGAAAAGUUUAAGAUAACUAUAUAAUAGUCAAAAAAAAAUAAAAAAUAAAAUUAGAGAGCAAAAAAAAAAAAAAAAAAAUGAAAAAAGAAAAAAAAAAGAAUAAUAAUAUAGACGUUAGCAUUAUGGCUAAAAGAAAGAUGUUGUAGAACUGUAAUUUUUGUAGAGUUUAGAAUAAGCAUAAAUUCCUACUCUUUGCCAAUUGCAUACUGUAUCGAGGAGGAUAUGAGAGGCUGUGAUGGCAGCUCCUAACUGCAAGCAUUCCACCUAUAAAACUAUAAAACUUGACUAUUGUAAAAUGAUGCAAUGAAAUAUUAAAGAUACAAACAGCUAUUGUCUUUUUAUCGGUUAAUUUAACUUGAAGAAUGACACGGCUAUCGCUUCAUAUCUUCUUAACCUGCUAUUUGCUAACCUUCCCAUCAUCUUCUGCUUUAAGUAGUUUCCAUAUUUGUUCUAGACCUUCAGGGCAAAAGACAGCCUAGAACCUUAAUGUUAAAAUAAAAUAAAAAAAAUAAAUAAAAAAAAAAACAGUACAAAAAAAUAA